rnacentral:misc_RNA from 1 species
ACCGAGUGAGGGCCCUCUGGGUCCAACCUCCCACCCGUGUUUAACGAACCUUGUUGCUUCGGCGGGCCCGCCUCACGGCCGCCGGGGGGCAUCCGCCCCCGGGCCCGCGCCCGCCGAAGACACCUGUGAACACUGUCUGAAGUUGCAGUCUGAAACUAGCUAAAUUAGUUAAAACUUUCAACAACGGAUCUCUUGGUUCCGGCAUCGAUGAAGAACGCAGCGAAAUGCGAUAAAUAAUGUGAAUUGCAGAAUUCAGUGAAUCAUCGAGUCUUUGAACGCACAUUGCGCCCUCUGGUAUUCCGGAGGGCAUGCCUGUCCGAGCGUCAUUGCUGCCCUCAAGCACGGCUUGUGUGUUGGGCCCCCGUCCCCCCCACCGGGGGGACGGGCCCGAAAGGCAGCGGCGGCACCGCGUCCGGUCCUCGAGCGUAUGGGGCUCUGUCACCCGCUCUUGUAGGCCCGGCCGGCGCCAGCCGACCCCCCUCAAUCUAUUUUUUCAGGUUGACCUCGGAUCAGGUAGGGAUACCCGCUGAACUUAAGCAUAUCAAUAA